rnacentral:rRNA from 1 species
UACAGAGGUCUCAAGCGUUUGUUCGGAUUCAUUGGGCGUAAAGGGCGCGUAGGCUGCGGGGCAAGUCGGGUGUGAAAUCUCAGAGCUCAACUCUGAAACUGCACUCGAUACUGCUUUGCUUGAGGACUGGAGAGGAGAUUGGAAUUCACGGUGUAGCAGUGAAAUGCGUAGAUAUCGUGAGGAAGACCAGUGGCGAAGGCGGAUCUCUGGACAGUUCCGUGACGCUGAGGCGCGAAGGCCAGGGGAGCAAACGGG